GCACAGAGAGCACAGUAGGUGUGUGUUUUUCCAGUGUGUGUGAGUGCGUGCGAAUUGCAAGUGCUAAUCAAUAAUUAAUAACAAUUGUGACAUUGUCAUAGUGCCGAAAAAACACACAACAAAAUGAGUGGCAUGGAUAAAAGAAAACUUUCAACAUCUGGCGAUUCGCUUUAUGAAAUCUUAGGACUUCCUAAAACAGCCACAGCUGAUGAUAUUAAGAAGACUUAUAGGAAACUUGCACUUAAAUACCAUCCAGAUAAAAAUCCAGACAACGCUGAUGCUGCCGAAAAGUUCAAGGAAGUCAAUCGUGCACACUCGAUAUUAAGCGACCAAACCAAACGCAAUAUUUAUGACAAUUAUGGAUCGCUGGGUCUUUACAUUGCCGAGCAAUUUGGCGAGGAGAAUGUGAAUGCAUACUUCGUGGUAACAUCGCCGGCGGUGAAGGCUCUGGUCAUUUGUUGCACAGUGUUGACGGGCUGCUGCUGUUGUUGCUGCUGCUGCUGCUGUUGCAACUUCUGCUGUGGCAAGUUCAAGCCACCAGUGAACGAGUCGCACGAUCAGUAUUCACAUUUGAAUCGCGCCGAUGGCAAUCGAGAGGCCACCGAUCAGCCACCGAAUCUGGGACAGCAGCCGCGUCUUGAGGACGUUGAUCUCGAUGAUGUUAAUCUUUCGGCGGGCGGAGCACCAGUCACCACACAGCCGGCCGGUGGCCAACCCGGUGGCCCACCUGUCUUUGCCAUGCCACCACCCAGUGGUGCCGGUGUGGGCGUGAAUCCAUUCACAGGCGCACCCGUGGCCGCCAACGAGAAUACAUCGCUGAAUACAACAGAACAAACCACAUAUACGCCAGAUUUUUGUAGUUUCUAUGAGAACCGUUGGUACGGAAUGUGAGAAGAAUAUGAAGAUCGUUAGCAAGACUCAAUCAAUACCAUUUCAAAAUAGAAUCAACUUCAUGACUUUGAACUAAACCGUUUUAUAUGGUUAAUCAAAAAUAUUAGACUCAUACAACAAGCGAAUCAAGCCCAAUCAUUGCGUAUGUUUUUGAACAGAAAAAUUACGAAAUAAUUUUAUACAACAAAAAUAGAAGGAAAAACUACACUACAUAUACAUAUAAGUAUAUCAACAUGUAUUUGUCUAAGAUAUACAUAUUGUUAAUUUACUUUAAAAUUUACACAAAGCGAGGCAGCGAGUCGACGGAUUCAGUUCACAGAAAACCAAGUGAAUGUUGUCGAUUGCAACUGAGCAGAAAUUGAAAAAUUAGUCACCCUUUAUUUGUUUUAGUGUGCGUAUUUGAUUAAGAAUAAAUAUUUUUGAGUUGUUGAAACUGUAAGAGGAUAUAGUAGGUAUAUAAAUAUUUAUAAUAAAACCAACAAAUCAACCAAAACAGCUGCGAACAGAAUUGAUGACAAACUUCGCAUACACAACAACAACAACAACACAGAUCUGUGUGCGUCUAUAAUUGUCUGAAUUUGUACGCAUAAUCCUACAUACAUACAUAUAUAUAAAAACAGAUAAAUACAUUUGUCAUUCAUUGAAGCAUUCAACUCUAAUUAGCCAUUCAAAUUGUACUUGUAUAUUAAAUUGAAAGCAACAAAUCUUUAAUAUGUAUUACUUACUUAGUCAUUUACUUAAAGUGUUUUUGCAUAUUUAGACUUGUACUUUGUUUUGUGUAAAGUGCAUUAAUUAUAUAAAUAAAUUUCAAUAUGUAUAAUACAUAAAAAGAUUAACAACUAUUGACAAACAAAAAUCUAUAUUGAGCUAAUUACAAUAAAUUUAAGCUAAAGCUUGACAAAUUGAAUUGUAAACUAAAUUAUACAUAUAUACUUGCAUAUAUAAAAACAAAUAUGUAAGGCGUUCAAGGUGUUUUCUAAAGUUAUAGCAAGCUAAUAAAAAUGCUAUAAUAUAUAUAUAUAUAUAUUUAUAAAUCAUUUAGGUUGCAUUUGUGUGUAUGUCCAUGGGAUGUAGCUUUCUUUACCUUAGCAAGAGAGAGCAGAAAACCGUUGUUAAAGACAUUAUUUUUCUAAUGAGUUGAAAUUAUUCUUGUGGUAAAUAUUAAAAUCAAUCAGCACACUACAAACGAAAUUGAAAUCUUACAAAGUCAAAUAUUACAUUUCACAUAUAAGUGAUAAGUCAAGCACUUGAAACGAUGCAAAAACAAUAAUACAUACGAGUAUAUGUAGGCAUACAUUCAAACUCCAAUUGGAUUUGGAAAAUACAAAAUACGUACUCUAAUGAGAAUUACGAAUACAUCCCGUCUUAAACAGUAUACUUACCCAUAUUAUUUGAAGAAAAAGUACGGAAAGUACGUUCCAAAGUUAUGGCACAUAGCACUGAUUUUUCGUCCAAACCUAUUGUUAAACAAAUUUCGAUGUCAUUACCUUUUCUUCAUUUGGUUUUGCAUUGCUCUCAUUUAUGUCAUUAUAAAAUAUAUAAAAAACACUUCAUGUAAAUGAUUGCAAUUAGUACCAAAUGUUAUAUCAUUCAUUCAAUAUCAUUAAUAUCAAUUAUAAAAGAGCAAAAAUAAUUUAUAUAUAAAAUUCAUUUACGAUAAUUACAUUUCAAAAAUUUGUGUGUGUAUUUAUUGUUCGUCAACAAAAUAAAUAGAAGGUACAUUUAAAAUUAACAACCAGAAAGAAAUGUAUGUAAUUAUAUAUAUAAAACAAUAUAUAACAUUAAAAUGAUUGUUUUCAUGAUAAAAUAUACCAAUACAGAAAUACAUAAAUUGAAGAAAGAAAUUAAUAAAUUUACUAUACACA